AUUAGCCAUGCAUGUCUCAGUGCAAGCCGAAUUAAGGUGAAACCGCGAAUGGCUCAUUAAAUCAGUUAUGGUUCCUUAGAUGAUGCACAGUUACUUGGAUAACUGUGGUAAUUCUAGAGCUAAUACAUGCAACUCGGUCCCGACCGGCGACGGAAGGGACGCUUUUAUUAGAUCAAAACCAAUCGGUCUUCGGGCCGUUUGUCUUGGUGACUCUGAAUAAAUUAUGGCAGAUCGCACGGCCCCCGAGCCGGCGACGCAUCUUUCAAAUGUCUGCCUUAUCAACUGUCGAUGGUAGGUUCUGCGCCUACCAUGGUUGUAACGGGUAACGGGGAAUCAGGGUUCGAUUCCGGAGAGGGAGCCUGAGAAACGGCUACCACAUCCAAGGAAGGCAGCAGGCGCGCAAAUUACCCACUCCCGGCACGGGGAGGUAGUGACGAAAAAUAACGAUACGGGACUCAUCCGAGGCCCCGUAAUCGGAAUGAGUACACUUUAAAUCCUUUAACGAGUAUCCAUUGGAGGGCAAGUCUGGUGCCAGCAGCCGCGGUAAUUCCAGCUCCAAUAGCGUAUAUUAAAGUUGUUGCGGUUAAAAAGCUCGUAGUCGGACUUGUGUCCCACGCUGCCGGUUCACCGCCCGUCGGUGUUUAACUGGCAUGCACGUGCGGACGUCCUGCCGGUGGCCCGAGCCGGCGCGGGUCUCGCACCCGUCGUCCGGGGAAGGCCUAUCAUACCCGUCGCGGUGCUCUUAACCGAGUGUCUCGAUGGGCCGGCACGUUUACUUUGAACAAAUUAGAGUGCUUAAAGCAGGCAGCAUCCGCCUGAAUACCGAGUGCAUGGAAUAAUGGAAUAGGACCUCGGUUCUAUUUUGUUGGUUUUCGGAAUCCCCGAGGUAAUGAUCAAUAGGGACAGACGGGGGCAUUCGUAUUGCGACGUUAGAGGUGAAAUUCUUGGAUCGUCGCAAGACGGACCGAAGCGAAAGCAUUUGCCAAGAAUGUUUUCUCUGAUCAAGA
rnacentral:rRNA from 1 species